rnacentral:rRNA from 1 species
AUUGAACGCUGGCGGCAGGCCUAACACAUGCAAGUCGAGCGGAUGAAGGGAGCUUGCUCCUGGAUUCAGCGGCGGACGGGUGAGUAAUGCCUAGGAAUCUGCCUGGUAGUGGGGGAUAACGUCCGGAAACGGGCGCUAAUACCGCAUACGUCCUGAGGGAGAAAGUGAGGGAUCUUCGGACCUCACGCUAUCAGAUGAGCCUAGGUCGGAUUAGCUAGUUGGUGGGGUAAAGGCCUACCAAGGCGACGAUCCGUAACUGGUCUGAGAGGAUGAUCAGUCACACUGGAACUGAGACACGGUCCAGACUCCUACGGGAGGCAGCAGUGGGGAAUAUUGGACAAUGGGCGAAAGCCCGAUCCAGCCAUGCCGCGUGUGUGAAGAAGGUCUUCGGAUUGUAAAGCACUUUAAGUUGGGAGGAAGGGCAGUAAGUUAAUACCUUGCUGUUUUGACGUUACCAACAGAAUAAGCACCGGCUAACUUCGUG